AGAGUUCGAUUAUGGCUCAGGAUGAACGCUGGCGGCGUGCUUAACACAUGCAAGUCGAACGAAGCACUUAUCUUUGAUUCUUCGGAUGAAGAGGUUUGUGACUGAGUGGCGGACGGGUGAGUAACGCGUGGGUAACCUGCCUCAUACAGGGGGAUAACAGUUAGAAAUGACUGCUAAUACCGCAUAAGACCACAGAGCCGCAUGGCUCAGUGGGAAAAACUCCGGUGGUAUGAGAUGGACCCGCGUCUGAUUAGGUAGUUGGUGGGGUAACGGCCUACCAAGCCAACGAUCAGUAGCCGACCUGAGAGGGUGACCGGCCACAUUGGGACUGAGACACGGCCCAA
rnacentral:rRNA from 1 species